rnacentral:rRNA from 1 species
CCUACGGGAGGCUGCAGUGGGGAAUAUUGGACAAUGGGCGAAAGCCUGAUCCAGCCAUGCCGCGUGUGUGAAGAAGGCCUUCGGGUUGUAAAGCACUUUCAGUGGGGAAGAAAGCCUUGGGGCUAAUACCCUCGAGGAAGGACAUCACCCACAGAAGAAGCACCGGCUAACUCCGUGCCAGCAGCCGCGGUAAUACGGAGGGUGCGAGCGUUAAUCGGAAUUACUGGGCGUAAAGCGCGCGUAGGCGGUCUGAUAAGCCGGUUGGGAAAGCCCCGGGCUCAACCUGGGAACGGCAUCCGGAACUGUCAGGCUAGAGUGCAGGAGAGGAAGGUAGAAUUCCCGGUGUAGCGGUGAAAUGCGUAGAGAUCGGGAGGAAUACCAGUGGCGAAGGCGGCCUUCUGGACUGACACUGACGCUGAGGUGCGAAAGCGUGGGUAGCAAACAGGAUUAGAUACCCGGGUAGUC